GAUCUUCCGAAAUUGGAGUUGUAAGUUCAUAAAAUAGAAUGUUAAUCGUCACUUGGUUUUGACAAUUGACGGAGAUCCGACUGUCGGAUGGUAAGGAAAUUUUAGGAUGUUGUUCUAGAGAUAUAUUGUGGACCUCUAGAAGUUAUGGAUUGGAAAUUUGAGUUGCAGAUCUUCCGAAUCGAACUACGUAGUGUCAUGUUUUAUAUAAGUUAUAUAUUCUAUCGAUAUGAUUUCUGAGGUUUGAUUUGAUGAUUGUUCUAGGCGCCAAUCAUCAUGACGCCUUGAUGUGUUGUGCUAGGGAGUUGUAGGGUGAACUCCAAGUGAGUGGGCAGUUUUGUUUUCCGUAUAUACCUAUAUAAAAGAGAUUUUUCCCAGGAAAUCAAUUUAAGUGAAAUGUGAUAUGAAAUGCGAUAUGAAAUGCCAUGCAAAAUACAUGCCUAAUUAUUUAUGCAUUAGUAAUUGCAUACAUGCAUGAUUGGUGCUACGGACGCACAGGUAAAUGCAGGUAAGUUCAUAAAUUAAAUUAUGUAAUUAUUGAGUUGAUAUGAUUGAAAGUUCAUAAACCUGCACUAGGGUGAUUGUGAUUUAUUAGAGAUGAUUCAGGCCU
rnacentral:lncRNA from 1 species